GCUUAUUGUUCUUAUAUAUUUCGUCUAUCCUGUUCAGCAGUUCGUAGCACUUGUUUUGCCAAUGAUGAAAAUGAUUUUGCUGUAUCUUGCAUCUCUGUUGCUCGUAGGUUGAUAUCCUGUCAAGUUUCAAUGCAUUUUCCUGGUGUUGUCCUGCAAUCUGCCUUGUGCCAAUUUAGCAAUGCUUACAACGCUCGUGCCUGUUUCCUACAACGGCGCAUUCACGAUCAAUGCAUGAGUUAUCUUGGUGUAUGAUGCAUCAAGUUUAUUUCGGUUGCAUCGUAACAUUUUCGUCAAAAUUGUUGCCAAAAUCUAAAACAUGAUACUAAAUUACUAAAUAAGUAUGAGCUUUGACAC